UACGUAGGGUGCGAGCGUUUGUCCGGAAUUACUGGGCGUAAAGAGCUCGUAGGUGGUUUGUCGCGUUGUUCGUGAAAACUCACAGCUUAACUGUGGGCGUGCGGGCGAUACGGGCAUCACUGGAGUUCGGCAGGGGAGACUGGAAUUCCUGGUGUAGCGGUGAAAUGCGUAGAUAUCAGGAGGAACACCGGUGGCGAAGGCGCUCAUCUGGCCCAAUACUGACGCUGAAGCGCGAAAAGCUAGGGGAGCAAACGGG
rnacentral:rRNA from 1 species